UUAAACAAGAAAAAAAAAACCAAACUCCUCAUCUUCUCAUAGAACCAAACAAAACCUCCUCUUCUUCUCACAGAUCCAAACCCAUGGCUUCUCCCGAUUGGGAUAUCUCCAUCUACACUGCUAACCUCGCCGAGCAAACUGAAUGUUAUGAUGAGACAAAUGACCAUAACAGCUUCCAUGUAUGUUGAAAAGUGAAGAGUUAUAUUUGUAAUUGACCCGAUCCUUAUAUGGCAUUAUCAGAUCCAUAACCACCACAAGUGGCCUAGUGGUGGAGUGACUUGGGUUCUCCAAUGGAGACCCAAGUUCAAUUCCCAUUAGUGCCACUUUGGUGGCCACCGACACCCGCUUUAAAGCCGGACCGAGGACACUCGAGGUCUCGGGUUCGAAACAUGUUUCUUACCCCUCUUUGAUGGCUAUGGGUAUUUUCCGCCAGGGAUCCUUGUCGGGUGGUGAACUGGGAAGGGAGAUCCCUUCCGCGGUCAGGGGUACCGUGCAACUACCCUUUUUUAUAUGGCAUUAUCAGAAGGCAGCACUUGCUGUUCAGAACUGUUUGAAUGGGCUCCCCUAUAGUGAAUUUUUUUGCCCAGUAUUCUAGUGCCUCUUGAGUAUGAAUAUUUUCAAUUAGAUGGGGAAAAAAUUUAGACGCAGCUCUGGACUAUAUAUCAACAUACACCUAUUGUAGGGCUGCUGAUAUGAAUGGUUGCUCACUUUUCAAGAUAAUAUACCUUGUGUACUUAAUUUAGUUAGGUGAUUUUCAUGUAAUUAGUAUCGUUGACCAAUGUAGAUAGUAAUUUGUAAUGUGAUAAGGCUAUUUAAUAUAAAUUUAUUCAUGACAUUGCAGUUUCACUAAAUUUUUUGUCUAAUAAUUGUUCCUGUUGUGAUCUAGCAGAGCCGACCUUCCUCUCGAUAUUUGGCGUGUUUGAGUCGUUUUAUUUUACCUUUCUAUAUUUUGACCCGUUUAACUUCAAUUCACCACUUAUUGGCACUUUUGACCGGUGUCAUUUUAUAUGAGAAUUAUAAUGACCAAAAAAAACAAAGUCUUUGUAUCUACUCAACUUUUAAUGAAACCAAAAUCUUAGUAUAUGCUAUUCUACUGGACUUCAAGCUGAUGCACACCUCAUCCUUCUUUCUAGUUUAGACUCUGCUGCACUAAUCAUCAUUCUCUCUCUAGUUUAGACUCAAGUUCCUGAAGAAAAAAAGAAAGAACAACUUCUCUUUUUUGGUGCUUCUAGGGAAGAUUUGAUUCUGCUUGCACUUUUGGGACGACCUUUAGUAUUCGUAUGAACUAGUGGAUCACGAAUAGAAAU